rnacentral:rRNA from 1 species
CCAAGUGGCGAAGGCGGCUUACUGGCUCGUAACUGACACUCAGUCACGAAAGCCUGGGGAGCAAAUAGGAUUAGAUACCCUAGUAGUCCACGCUGUCAACUAUGGAUGCUAGAUAUUGGGGAAACUCAGUGCCGAAGCUAACGCGAUAAGCAUCCCGCCUGGGUAGUACGUUCGCAAGAAUAAAACUUAAAGGAAUUGACGGGAGCCCGCACAAGCAGUGGAGCAUGUGGUUUAAUUCGACGCUACUCGAAGAACCUCACCAGGACUUGACAUCUGGUUAAAUACCCUAGAGAUAGGGGGAUAGUCAUAGCCAAGACAGGUGGUGCAUGGUUGUCGUCAGCUCGUGUCGUGAGAUGUUGGGUUAAGUCCCGCAACGAGCGCAACCCUCGUCCUUAUUUGCCAUCAUUAAGUUGGGAACUAUAGGGAGACUGCCGAUGUAAAUCGGAGGAAGGUGGGGAUGACGUCAAAUCAUCAUGCCCUUUAUGUCCUGGGCCACACACGUGCUACAAUGGCCGAUACAAAGAGUCGCUAACCCGUAAGGAUCAGCAAAUCUCAAAAAAUCGGUCUCAGUUCAGAUUGAGGUCUGCAACUCGACCUCAUGAAGCUGGAAUUGCUAGUAAUCGCAAAUCAGCGAUGUUGCGGUGAAUACGUUCUCGGGCUUUGUACACACUGCCCGUCAAACCAUGAGAGCUGGUAAUACUUGAAGUCGUAUCCUAA